rnacentral:RNase_P_RNA from 1 species
UAAUCGCACUGAAAGGUGAGGAAAGUCCAUACUCGCACUGACUGAGAUGUCAGUAGUGUUCGUGCUAAACUAAAAAAUAAGUUUAGGUACUUAAAAAAGUAACGGCAGACAAUUUUACCUAAGUACGAAGUAUAUGGUAAAAUAUAUCUUGAAAGUGCCACAGUGACGUAGUUUUUAUAGAAAUAUAAAAAGUGGAACGCGGUAAACCCCACGAGCGAGCAAUUCAAAUUUUGGUAGAAGCACUUAUUUCGUAGAAAUGAAUAUAGAAAUAGGAGAUAAUAUUUAUCUAGACAGAUGAUUACAACUAUUUUUACAAGAGUUCUAGUUGCUCGUUAUAGUAAGAAUAGAUACAGAAUAUGGCUUAU